GGCUUGUGGCAGCCAAGCGUUCAUAGCGACA
rnacentral:rRNA from 1 species